CCCACCCCCGAACACUAGGAACCGAGCCUUUCACGCAGGAAUCCUUGGAGGACACUUCAGAUCCAAACUGGAGGCCAUGGAAUGGGGCUCAGAAGCAUUGUCAUGUUCUGUAUCUGGCCAUAAAAAACAGCGGAACAAACAACCAACCCUGUUCUGUGGGCAGUAAGAACAAGGAUUCUGGAGCCAGGCUGCCUGCAUUUGAAUCCUGAUUCUACUCCCACACUACCUGCGUGACCUUGGACAAGCUAUUGAACCUCUCUGUGCUAUAGUUUCUUCAAGCAUGAAAUGAGGUCGAUGACAACUCUCAAAAUGUAGGUUAUGAGAAUUAAAUGCAUAUCCAGAGUCUUUGCACAAUGCAAAGACAGUGCACAUGAGAAGUAUUAGCUAUUUGUCUCACCUUGAUUUUGAAACUCUGUGCAAUGUAAAUCUUCUGAAACUCUC